AUCGGGUGAGAUUUCAUGCCAACACAACCGCAAAACCAACACCAUCUUUCCAUGAUAUAUUAUCUAGUGAUGUAAGCUCAUAUUACUUGCAGUUUGAACACCAAACUGCGAAUCCAUGGUUGGGGGCAGCCAUGGAAGAUCUGCAUUCACUGUUCUACGUGCGUGAGGGACCGUAGAUUUUCAUUUGGGGAGGCACGUUGCGAAUCCAUCCGCCCUUUUGGUCUUCAUCUUAUCGGUUUCCUCUCAGAUGUUCGGUUUGAGUGUUGCCAUUCCAGCUGGGCUUCAUCCUUCUUCUCAUCACACAGGGAGGAAGAUCGAAGGAAAAAGAACUGGAGUAACUAAUAUAGGACCCCCAGUCUGCUCAUAAAUCUGAGCACCAGUGAAGAAAGCAUUUAGAUUUGAUGGGUUUGAUGUCAACGGUAUGAAUCUCUCUCUCUCUCUUUUUGUUUUUGUUUUUGGUUCACCAAAUGGUUUUCAUCUAUUCUAAUUUUCUGAUU